UACGUAGGGUGCAAGCGUUGUCCGGAAUUAUUGGGCGUAAAGAGCUCGUAGGCGGUCUGUCGCGUCUGCUGUGAAAACUCGGGGCUUAACCCCGGGCCUGCAGUGGGUACGGGCAGACUAGAGUGCGGUAGGGGAGACUGGAAUUCCUGGUGUAGCGGUGAAAUGCGCAGAUAUCAGGAGGAACACCGGUGGCGAAGGCGGGUCUCUGGGCCGAUACUACGUGAGGAGCGAAAGCGUGGGGAGCGAACAGG
rnacentral:rRNA from 1 species